AUGUCACUUCUCCAAGAGAAGAUCUGGAUUAAUUAAGAAGGCGCGAGAGCUCUCUGUUCUCUGUGAUGUUGAGGUCGGACCGUCGUCCUUCACCAAUCGCGGCCGUCUCUAUGAGUUUGCAGCGGAAACAGGAUUAUAUGACGAAGAAGGUUAUUGGUAAAGGACAUGAAUCCGAGGGUCUUUACAUUUUUUUACCAUCAGAUAUCGAAAGUUAUGGCUUGCUUUGGAGUUACAUCCCCGUUUGAAGUCCAUUGUCGUUUGGGUCAUCUAUCGUUGUUGAAGAAACUUUAUCCAAAAUUCGUUCCUUAUUGUCUUUGAAUUAUGAUUCGUGUCCAUUUUCUAAAUUUCAUUGUCUUAGUUCUAGUCCCAUAAACGAGCUAGUGCUCCUUUUGAGUUAGUCCAUUCUGAUAUUUGGGAUCUUUGUCCAGUUGUGUCCAAAACAAAAAAAUCGUUUUGAAUUAUUGUCUCAUUUUUUUUGCUUUUCAUGUCGAGAUUUGAAAUCAAUUUAAUGUCUCUAUCAAAACCUUGCAAACUGAUAAUACUAGUGAAUAUUUCUCUCA